rnacentral:tRNA from 1 species
CCGUCGAUAGCUCAGUUGGCAGAGCGGUGGACUGUAGAUCCAUAGGUCGCUGGUUCGAAUCCGACUCGACGGA